rnacentral:rRNA from 1 species
UACAGAGGUCUCAAGCGUUGUUCGGAUUCAUUGGGCGUAAAGGGUGCGUAGGCGGCGCGGUAAGUCGGGUGUGAAAUCUCGGAGCUUAACUCCGAAACUGCAUUCGAUACUGCCGUGCUUGAGGACUGGAGAGGAGACUGGAAUUUACGGUGUAGCAGUGAAAUGCGUAGAUAUCGUAAGGAAGACCAGUGGCGAAGGCGGGUCUCUGGACAGUUCCUGACACUGAGACACGAAGGCCCAGGGGGAGCAAAACGGGG